AGACCCGAAACCCGGUGAUCUAGCCAUGGGCAGGUUGAAGGUUGGGUAACACUAACUGGAGGACCGAACCGACUAAUGUUGAAAAAUUAGCGGAUGACCUGUGGCUGGGGGUGAAAGGCCAAUCAAACCGGGAGAUAGCUGGUUCUCCCCGAAAGCUAUUUAGGUAGCGCCUCGUGAAUUCAUCUCCGGGGGUAGAGCACUGUUUCGGCUAGGGGGCCAUCCCGGCUUACCAACCCGAUGCAAACUGCGAAUACCGGAGAAUGUUAUCACGGGAGACACACGGCGGGUGCUAACGUCCGUCGUGAAGAGGGAAACAACCCAGACCGCCAGCUAAGGUCCCAAAGUCAUGGUUAAGUGGGAAACGAUGUGGGAAGGCCCAGACAGCCAGGAUGUUGGCUUAGAAGCAGCCAUCAUUUAAAGAAAGCGUAAUAGCUCACUGGUCGAGUCGGCCUGCGCGGAAGAUGUAACGGGGCUAAACCAUGCACCGAAGCUGCGGCAGCGACACUCAGGUGUUGUUGGGUAGGGGAGCGUUCUGUAAGUCUGC
rnacentral:rRNA from 1 species